GGGGGCACUCGUCCAACUCAACCCUACAUACCAAGCGCUAGCGCUUGGUAAUAAAUACAUGUAUGUACAUGUACAAUGCAUGUAUUUAAUUUUGUGCACAAAAAUAAUAAAUAACGAACUGUGUUAUCUAUUGUGCUAUCAUGAAUAAACUGUGUUUCUAUAUUUGUUUAAGGACUACAUGUACGCAUUCAUUAACAUGGCCAUUUGCCCACAACUGGCCAUGUUUAUAAAUGGCUAAAUACCAUGUUUGUUUAUGAAAUGGCCAAUAUACCAUAUAUAGCUCUUUAAGUAAACUAUGCAGUGUUAUCAUCAAUAAUCUCAUUUUGUGUUUCUAUUUCUAUAUUUGUUUAAUAACUACACAUGUACACAAUAAUAAACAUGGGUAUUUAUCCACAAACUCCACAUAUUUUCUCUUGUGGGAUGAUUGUAUAAUUAAUUACUGAUACCAAGCCAAUCGAUCAUUGAUAGAUGAACCAUUUUCUCUAGCUGAUACAGUUUUUUAACUCUUGUUUCCAUGACAAUAAAAAAAAGUGUUUUGUUCUAUAGAUUUAGUGAUUUAACAAUUUUUAUUUGAUUUGUUUUAUUACUUGCUCUCAAAGAAAAUUUAAUUAAAGUGAGAGAGGUUCACAUAUCACUGGGAUACAUUACAUCUAUACUUAUGGUUGGAAGGGAUAGUAAUAUUAUUGACUAUUGCUAGUAAUAUUUUUAUCAGUAUUAACAAUAUUGAAUUUGCAAUACUAGGUACAACUACAAUAUACUGCUUUGAAAUUUGAAUUGUAUAAAUUUAUUGAUCAUAAAAUUUACUAAUAUUGCACAACUCUACAGCUACUUUCUUUCCCAAUUUUUUGUGUUUUAAGCACUGAAAAACAGCCCACAUGUUGGAGAUGUAACUCUACUUUUUUAUAAUUCCAUUUAAAGUGCUGCCAUUGAAUGCUAUUAUUGCUAGGCAGUAAUUGUUUUAAUCUUACCAUCAUCAUCUAGAGGUUCAAAUGCCAAUAUUGGAACUCUUUCAGCCAUGUUCAAUCUGCAGUUGCUGCUCUACUGUCUAAGAUUACUUCACACUGGUUACUGACACUUACUGGACUCUUCUAAAAACACUCCUGAAUAUGGUUAUUGCAACUUGCAUGUGUAAUAAGUGUCAACUUGUAAAUUGUUUUAUACUGAAUCAAAACAACAGAGAGAACAACAGCAAAAGAUGAUAAUAAAAGACAGAGACUCUCACACACACAUGCUCCUCUUCUGAGCAUGCGCACUCAUACACAUAAUAACAUAUUGUAACCAUAAUAUAGUAAUACAUGAAUUAUUGUACAUACACUACAUAAUACCAAGAGUAUAGUGUCAAUUCAGUUCACUACACAUGUACCGGUACAUGUACUAUUUAUAGUAGAGGGGUGUGGCUACUCCUAUAGUCAUCACAGGCAUGUACAUAUGGUUGCUUGAAUUGACCCAAUUUCUUUACUACACAUCACUUCCUGGUCACAUGACAUGUGUUAGUAGCAAGCAACCUGCAAUUCACUGCAGAUGCAUAUACAUGUUGACUACAUAUAGUGCAGUGGUGACUGCUGACCAGACUCUCACCCCUUUCUGCAUAGCCAGUGUCCAUGUGAGCACUGGCAUUUUAUUGCUCAGAUAUUUUUUAAUGCUAUUGAUAAUGAUAACCAACUUGCAAUGUUGUUUAUAGUUAUUAUUAAUUUUGGUCUUCUCUUUUUGUUGUUAGUCUGUCCCAUCCAUUAUUAUUUCCUUCCCAAUCUCUCUUUUAGUGUCUCAUUCUAAUGAAGGUGAAUCAGGUCUUGAUGAUUAAUCACAAGAUAUCACUGGAGGCAUGUGCACACACACACACACUAGUCUCACUGGGCCCAGACUAGUCUCGUAGACCCCAGCCUACAGUCCACCCCAAUGACUGUCAGCUGAGGAAUGGCCUGGCCAGCGAGACUAUACACACAGUCACACACACACACACUGGAGUCUGGAGCAGCGGAGUAGGCACAAAUUUACAUGUGCUUUGGGAGUUGCUAUAAUAAUUUAUACUAGUACAUGUAGUUGCUAAUGUCGUAAUAUAAUGAGAAUGAUUCUGACAGUAGUACCAGUGAAAGUGCUAGUCACACUCACCAGGAGUUUGAGUUACCUAAAGAACCUUUUCAAUUACGACAAGAGAUUGCUAGUCAUUCACUUGAAUUACCUGAAUUUGAUAUUGGCAGUAGUCACAGUGGUGGUAUAUCUCAUGCCUCCAGUGGUCGUCACUCCUCACAACACACUCUCAACUUCCCCAAACAAUUCAUUCCAGGCUGGACUCCACCUACCUGGGACUUCUCCCCUCAAGUAGCUGAAGUAUUGAAGCAUUAUGCUGGGAAGGGUGAUGUUCAGAUGAGUGUUACUAUUAUUCUUGUGUUUGGUGAGAGGGUCAGUAAACUGAUACCUGAAGUAACAUUACUUCAAUGGUUUCAUUCAUAUAUUGAUUUAUUGACACAGUAUCAGUUAUUAAAUGAAGCUGUUUAUAUUACCAAGAACUGUCCUCUUA